UUUCUAAUUUGGUGCCUUCUUGACCGAGAAAAGGCAGAAAAUGACUCCACUCCACUCUACGCUACCUGGAAAUCAUUUCAAACAAUUUCUAGUGAAGACUUAGUUUGCGAACUCAUUAGUGAAUUACUCCUCGUUUGUGUUUCGAAAUGGUGUGCACUUGCAUGUUACCGGGAUGUUCAGCCAGCACAAGGAAAAUACACGGGAGUAAAUUUUCAUAGAUUACCCAAAGAGUUGGAGUUGUGCAAAAAGUGGCUACGGGCUAUCAAUAACCCGAAGUUCGGAGAGGACACAGCCAUUGAAGCACUAAAACAUCUGACGGUGUGCAGUCUACAUUUCAAGGCAGAAGAACCCCUUAGGAGUGAAGAGACCCGCGCUUGUGAAAACCGCAAUUCCGUCGAUAUUUACCUUGCCAGAUGAUGUCGACGAACAGCCAGGAACUUCUGGAACUAGCAGUACUAGCUGCGCUAAACGCAUUUGCCUGGAGGUAAGGUUUUUCUGACUCGACUCUACUUCUCGACUGAGAACACACUGAUAUAGUCGUCUGCUGUAAAGCAGCACAUCUCAUAUGAUUUGGCUGUUUAUAAAGUAAAUAUCUUGUAUGUUUUGGUCGCUUGCUGCCUCGCUAACUCCAAUCGUCAGCAACGAGGAAGCAAAGUUAGCAAUGUAACGUUAGACAGUUAUGAAUAUCGUGUCAAUUGUGUGUUAGCUGCAUAAGUUUGCUAUUAGCGAUGUAAAUCCACCAUGUUUUACUAUGUUAGUCUGACAUUAUUCAAAUGUUUUUAACGUUAUUGAACAAGAACAGUUUGUAAGUAGCCUAAAUAAUAUUAUCUCUAAUCAUGGCUGCAGUGGAGGCUAAUCGCAAGUAAACGCAGUUUAUCCACCACUGAAUUUCAGAAAUAGUUUAUCCACCUCUUGAUAGUUUAUCCACCACUCAAUACAUUCAAUGCACUUCCUAAUAGUGUGUAUGCACUCAGGGAACUAUUUUAAAUUAGUGGAAUAUAGUUUGAAAAGAAACCUCUUGUUUGUUUUAUAGUCACCAUGUCCAAGUACACCUGGUCUUGAUACCAGUGCCAGCACCCUUGAAGUUGGUGAAACAGAUGAAAGGCACUACAAAACAGGUGGAAGUGCAUUCCACACCACGUGGUCUAUGAACAUCGAUGGACUGACACGGAUGGAAAGCGGCAUCACUGUGACCAUGCUCCUCUAACAGCUGAGGAGCAGAAGAAGAGGAUGUGGCUGAAGAAGGACUCGGUGGCAUAUCAGGACCUGACGUCGCUCGUCUUUGAUAAAAGGCUUUUGAAAGAUCUUCAGAAGAUGGCCCUCUUCAAACAUACUGGGCCACUGGAGAUCUUUCACAGAGCUCUCCUGAAGUACCUCCCUAAAUGCCAGGCCUUCAGCUACGAGGGAGAGGGCCUACCUCACCAUCAUGGAACAUAAUGAGAACAUUGUGGCAUGAGAACAAGCCACCACGGCAACAGGAGAACCACGCGUCAAGCAGGUCUUCUGAAAAAGUCAAAGCAAUGAAUAGUCAAGAAAAUCUAUAAGCCACACACCACCAAGUUCAUCCAGACACUAAUUGAGAAGGUCAUAGAAAACAGACGCAACCCAAACAUAACAUUCAAGGACUCAACCGCUUCACUCACCCAACCACAACCUCCUUUGCCACCUAACAUUGCCCCCUGUCCCAAAGCCGUCAAAGAAAGCUGCAACAUAAUCAUUCAAGAGCCGCUUCUGAGACGUCAAGCUCAACAUUAACCCAUUCCUCACAAAUAUUUUGUAAUAUUACCAUGUCUUAUGUCUUUGAUGGUCUUUUGACCUUAUCCUUGCACUACCUUACCUGUUUGCACUGCCACUACUAAGAAAGAACUACAACAACGUACAUUUUAAGCAUUCAAUUAAAUAACUAUAAUAUACAAACAAUACAACUGUUGAAUGACUAUAUACAAACAAUGAAACUAUAGCUCCUCGAGCGUCCUCCGCUUCUUGGUGCCCGCAGUACUGGCCGUCUGGAGCUGGGUAUUUCUGGCGGAUAGCCAGCACGACACAAGCAGG